rnacentral:misc_RNA from 1 species
AAAAGGUCAAGGAUAAGACCUAGGCUUCAGUAGUCUUUUUUUUUUAUUAAUUCAGGAGCAAAUUCAUUAUUCAUAUGUCAGGCUUGAAUUAAACUUGAUCAAUCCACCUCGGUAAGUCACGUUGCAAAGUUAAUGGCUGCUUGUGGGUAAUAAACAAUUGGAACCUAUUGCAAAAUGUAGUAGCUAAUGACCAAAUUGACAAUAUAAGAAGAACGCAGCUGAAUUGCAUAUUUGAGAAAGGUAUAGGAACAAAAUUGACCGACUCUUUCCCUCUCCUUCUCUCUCCCCCCCAACCCCAUCUUGACUCUCUUUUCUUCCUAUCUCUCUUUGAAUUCAUGCACGUAACUGAAUUAGUCUAAAUUUGCUUUUAAAUUUGGAGUUUCACAAAAAACAUUUUAUCUGAGUUGAAGUUGUGGUCUUUAUACGCUGAGGAGUUGG